rnacentral:Y_RNA from 1 species
GGCUGGUCCGAUGGUAGUGGGUUAUCAGAAUUUAUUAACAUUAGUGUCGCUGAAAUUGGUAUUCAACCCCCCACUGCUAAAUUUGACUGGCUUUAA